rnacentral:lncRNA from 1 species
UCAAGCUCUUGCAAAAGCUUCACUUUCAACCAAAGAUCAGAUGUCAUAAUCAAGAGUCUCCAUAAUGGGGCUACCCCGUGGAAUUCAUCUUACAUGUAUGCCAUCAGCCAGAAGCAGAUGGCCAGUGGAACUGGGGAAUGACUUGGUGAAUGCUCAGUUUAUAUCCAGCCCCUUCUAGAUGCCUUGCAACUUUGCUAUCUCCAGACUAUUACUAAAU